rnacentral:rRNA from 1 species
CCUACGGGUGGCAGCAGUGAGGAAUAUUGGUCAAUGGGCGUAAGCCUGAACCAGCCAAGUCGCGUGCGGGAUGAAGGUUCUAUGGAUCGUAAACCUCUUUUAUAAGGGAAUAAAGUGUGGGACGUGUCCUAUUUUGUAUGUACCUUAUGAAUAAGGAUCGGCUAACUCCGUGCCCGCAGCCGCGGUAAUACGGAGGAUCCGAGCGUUAUCCGGAUUUAUUGGGUUUAAAGGGUGCGUAGGCGGCCGUUUAAGUCAGCGGUGCAAGUCUGUGGCUAAACCAUGGAAGUGCAGUUGAAACUGGGGGGCUUGAGUAUGUUUGAGGCAGGCGGAAUGCGUGGUGUAGCGGUGAAAUGCUUAGAUAUCACGCAGAACCCCGAUUGCGAAGGCAGCCUGCCAAGCCAUGACUGACGCUGAUGCACGAAAGCGUGGGGAUCAAACAGGAUUAGAUACCCCUGUAGUC